GGGAAUGUGGCUUAGUGGUAGAGUGCUUGCCUCACAUGCAUGAGGCUCUGGGUUCGAUUCCUCACUACCA
rnacentral:tRNA from 1 species